UACGAAGGGGGCUAGCGUUGCUCGGAAUCACUGGGCGUAAAGAGCUUGUAGGUGGUUUGUCGCGUUGUUCGUGAAAUCUCACGGCUUAACUGUGAGCGUGCGGGCGAUACGGGCAGACUAGAGUACUGCAGGGGAGACUGGAAUUCCUGGUGUAGCGGUGGAAUGCGCAGAUAUCAGGAGGAACACCGGUGGCGAAGGCGGGUCUCUGGGCAGUAACUGACGCUGAGGAGCGAAAGCGUGGGGAGCGAACAGG
rnacentral:rRNA from 1 species